UACGGAGGAUGCGAGCGUUAUCCGGAUUUAUUGGGUUUAAAGGGUGCGCAGGCGGAGGCACAAGUCAGCGGUAAAAUUGAGAGGCUCAACCUCUUCCCGCCGUUGAAACUGGUGGUCUUGAGUGGAUGAGAAGUACGCGGAAUGCGUGGUGUAGCGGUGAAAUGCACAGAUAUCACGCAGAACUCCGAUUGCGAAGGCAGCGUACCGGCAUCCAACUGACGCUGAGGCACGAAAGCGUGGGGAUCAAACAGG
rnacentral:rRNA from 1 species